CUGUAAAAAUGAGGUGUCUAUCUCUUCCACAUCCAUCCUAUUUUCUCAUCUCUCUCUGACAUUUAUCCUAUUUUCUCAUCUCUUAUUUCUCUCUCUUUAGCCUGCGUCAGUUCCGACUUCUGUUGCCCCUUUCAAUGAGGAUUGCAACAACGAAUCAAUGAAUGGAUUUUGUUCUUCUGAGGUUGAAGAAUGGGCGAUGAAAGAAUGUCUCUUACAAGUGCUUUAGGAAUUUCUCAUCCUUGAUGAAGUUGAGGCUUGUUAGUCUUUGGUAGGGUCCAGGCGGCUGCUAUGAAAUAUAUGUAAGAGCAGUAAUGAGAGAAGAGGCUAGGAAACAGGCUAAGGAACAGGCAGGGGCUUCGGGUGCAAGCGCAUAAUCAAGUGUGUGUGGGCGGGGUUUGAUUUUUUUCUGACAACCGUGUGGAAUGCGUCGACGAUGAAUAAGUAGAAAACAGAUUAUCCUGAGUUGCUUUCGAAAUAUCUGUUUCUGAUCUCCAUUAGGUUUCGUUUCUUAAUAAUAUUGUGACUAUUGUCUGUUCUUUAAAAAUUCGUAGAACAAAAUGAAUGCAGUUUAACUUUCUCUGUGUUUUAGUAAUGAAUGUUUUGCUUAAUUUUAAACCCUCGAUCACAGCACACCUCAUCAACUUCGCAACCACCCCAUCAUCUCCAUUGUCGCCGCCACCAAUCUCUUUCACAGCGACAACCGAUAUCUUUGAGCUCAAAACAGAGUACUUGGCGAAGAAGUUGACCAACCCGGCAAGCUUAAAAGAAAUCCCAUGAUGGGCAUCAAACAAAACCCCCCAAUCACAUAAUCCAACAUCAGAAACAUCAAACUCUACGCAUUCAAAAUACAUUAAGGAAUGGGCGCGGCAACAGACUGCACAAGGAAAUAUUGGCCCUUGUACUAUUUGGGAAACCCAGUAAACUACUAAAUAUACUUGUAAUGCAGUGCAUUAAAGACCUCAAAGCCCCGACGAAACCUACCAGCUCCAAUUCCAGAUGAAUACACAAUCCAUGCACCAGUUGAUACA